CUGUGAGCUCGAUGAGUAGGGCGGGACACGUGGUAUCCUGUCUGAAUAUGGGGGGACCAUCCUCCAAGGCUAAAUACUCCUGACUGACCGAUAGUGAACCAGUACCGUGAGGGAAAGGCGAAAAGAACCCCGGCGAGGGGAGUGAAAAAGAACCUGAAACCGUGUACGUACAAGCAGUGGGAGCACAGAGCAAUCUGUGUGACUGCGUACCUUUUGUAUAAUGGGUCAGCGACUUAUAUUCUGUAGCAAGGUUAACCGAAUAGGGGAGCCGAAGGGAAACCGAGUCUUAACUGGGCGUUAAGUUGCAGGGUAUAGACCCGAAACCCGGUGAUCUAGCCAUGGGCAGGUUGAAGGUUGGGUAACACUAACUGGAGGACCGAACCGACUAAUGUUGAAAAAUUAGCGGAUGACUUGUGGCUGGGGGUGAAAGGCCAAUCAAACCGGGAGAUAGCUGGUUCUCCCCGAAAGCUAUUUAGGUAGCGCCUCGUGAAUUCAUCUCCGGGGGUAGAGCACUGUUUCGGCAAGGGGGUCAUCCCGACUUACCAACCCGAUGCAAACUGCGAAUACCGGAGAAUGUUAUCACGGGAGACACACGGCGGGUGCUAACGUCCGUCGUGAAGAGGGAAACAACCCAGACCGCCAGCUAAGGUCCCAAAGUCAUGGUUAAGUGGGAAACGAUGUGGGAAGGCCCAGACAGCCAGGAUGUUGGCUUAGAAGCAGCCAUCAUUUAAAGAAAGCGUAAUAGCUCACUGGUCGAGUCGGCCUGCGCGGAAGAUGUAACGGGGCUAAACCAUGCACCGAAGCUGCGGCAGCGACGCUUAUGCGUUGUUGGGUAGGGGAGCGUUCUGUAAGCCUGUGAAGGUGUGCUGUGAGGCAUGCUGGAGGUAUCAGAAGUGCGAAUGCUGACAUAAGUAACGAUAAAGCGGGUGAAAAGCCCGCUCGCCGGAAGACCAAGGGUUCCUGUCCAACGUUAAUCGGGGCAGGGUGAGUCGACCCCUAAGGCGAGGCCGAAAGGCGUAGUCGAUGGGAAACAGGUUAAUAUUCCUGUACUUGGUGUUACUGCGAAGGGGGGACGGAGAAGGCUAUGUUGGCCGGGCGACGGUUGUCCCGGUUUAAGCGUGUAGGCUGGUUUUCCAGGCAAAUCCGGAAAAUCAAGGCUGAGGCGUGAUGACGAGGCACUACGGUGCUGAAGCAACAAAUGCCCUGCUUCCAGGAAAAGCCUCUAAGCAUCAGGUAACAUCAAAUCGUACCCCAAACCGACACAGGUGGUCAGGUAGAGAAUACCAAGGCGCUUGAGAGAACUCGGGUGAAGGAACUAGGCAAAAUGGUGCCGUAACUUCGGGAGAAGGCACGCUGAUAUGUAGGUGA
rnacentral:rRNA from 1 species